AUUAUGUCCAGUGGUUUUUCCCCUUAUCCACCUGACCUAACGGGUCAUAGGGCAACGAAUACAGUGGCGGGAAAUUGUUAAAUGAAAAACAGGGAGGACGAAACUUACAUGACAAGAAGACGUUGUAGAAGACUUGUGGAGAAUCUUGUUUUUGCAGCUAUCGUUUCAAAAAGGUCGGCUACAGAGUUAGAACCGUUUUGUAUUGAGUGUCUCACCGUCUAUUUUGUUUUUGGAAUCUUGCGUAUAUCCCUUGUGUUUGUUGUGCUUGUUCACCGCUGAGGGAAUCUCAUUUAUUUGAUUUUUUGUUUUGCGUGUUUAAAAAAAAGCAUUUGAACAACAAAGCUGGACAGAAAACAAACAAUCAAACACGGCACCGUAGCCUGAAUCUUGGGCAGGCCCAGAACAAUCGCCAUGCUUGCCGCUUCAUGGCUGGAUUCUUCCCACCGCCACUGGUGCCAGCGUGAGCGGUGGAGAGCUCAUGUCUCCUGUCAGAAACGCUUGGAGAAAGACAGGGACGGCAUGACCAGUGGGCCCGGCGAGCUGAAGGGGUCAGUUUUCAGGAGGAGAGACAGCGGUGUGGCAGUGAUCUCCCCGUGACAACCUGUCAGAGCCAUCAACACCGCCAUACUGCCCUGUCAUUCCGCCUGACGUCUCGGCCAGGGAAAGCAAGCCAAGACCUGUGGCUGUCUUCUUUGGUAUGAAGAAAUAAGAUGGCAUCAGCUUCUGUUGGUCUGCAUCACAGGACUACCAACAAGCCGCUUCGAGGACUGCUGCUGCACGCAUGCACACACACACACACACACAAACACACACACACUGAAAAACACAUGCACACGCACGCACAUGCACACACACACGUGCGCACAGAUGCACAUGAGCGUGCUCAAACACAUAGAAUGAACAGACAAAUUAAAUCACAAAUAGAAUGUACGUAUAUACAUAUACAUAUACAUACACAGGCUUAGGCAUGUAUGUACUCACACUCAUGUGAAUAAAUAUAAAGACUCAUGCAUGCAUCUGCAUGAGCACACAGUUUUCUGGGAGCUUAAAAAUCAUGAAGUGUGGGUGGGGGGAGGGGGGAAAUCUUGACAGCAAGGUUUAGCUAUAAAUGUUAAGUUAGGUUGAAGUAGUAUUAAAAUAUUACCAAAAUGAGGAUUAAAAUAAUACAAUGUAUCCAGUAAUCAGAAGAUAUUUAACUAGUGUUAGGCUGCCAGUUUUUUUGUGGGUUAUAAAUGUUUUUUUUAAUAUGAGUUCUGGUGAACCACAGUGUGUGCUGAUAUUUUCUUGUGUUUAAUUCACUGAACUUGGUUGAUCUUGUAAUUAAAUACUGAUGCAGACUUGA